rnacentral:rRNA from 1 species
ACGAACGCUGGCGGUGCGCCUAAUGCAUGCAAGUUGGACGGUCUUUCCGGCGCAAGUUGGAAAGAUAGUGGCAAACGGCUGAGUAACACGUGAGUGACCUACCCCGAAGAGGGGACCAAGCUCGAGAAAUCGGGUCUAAUACCCCGUACGCUUCCAGGGUCACGGCCCUGGAUGGAAAUGGCCCGCAAGGGUUGCUUUGGGAGGGGCUCACGUCCUAUCAGGUAGUUGGUGGGGUAACGGCCUACCAAGCCGAAGACGGGUAACCGGUGUGAGAGCACGAACGGUCAGAGGGGGACUGAGAUACGGCCCCCACUCCUACGGGAGGCAGCAGCAGGGAAUCUUGCGCAAUGGGCCUAACGGCCUGACGCAGCGACACCGCGUGAGGGAAGAAGGCCUUCGGGUUGUAAACCUCUUUUCCCAGGGAAGAGUGAGGACGGUACCUGGGGAAUAAGCCUCGGCUAACUACGU